CAGAUCCAUUCCAGCAGAUGGUCUGUGACCCAGAAGAUGGAGGGGGACAUCUGUCAGGGUUGGAUUAACCUGCUGGGAUAUCCCCAACCGUGCACCAGAGAGGAACCCCUGAGCGGCCCCACUCCUACGUGAGCCAGCCCCUGAGACGCCAUGCUGGCCAGGCACUCCUGUCACCGACCCACCAGCGGGCAGUGUUGGCUGGGGCCCCCCAAUCAAAAGUGAAGUCCCAAGUGGGGGCAGUCGGGAGCUGAGGGAAACCAGGGUGUUCUCAAAGGAUGCCUUGACCAGCAGAUGUGGGCUGGGCACGCUGGUACACUCUAAGCCAUGGCGCAGUCAGGCCUACUCAAUAGGGGACAUUGAGGUUCUGGCCGCCCAGCACCAUGGGUGAGCGAUGUCGAGGCUUGCUAGCACAGCGAGUGACCUUCCUCGUGUCCACGUACCUGGAGCUCGGCCUGCGUGGCCGGGCUGGGUUUGAAGACUGUAGUGGUCCCUCCUGAGCCCCUGCUUCCUCCAAUCCUCCUCGAUGUCCCCAAAAAGGGAAGUAGGAUUCAUGGUUGGGGAUGAGCAGAUAGGGUGGGUGGGCUGGCUUCGGAGUGGCCUGCCACAUUUGCCUUGAGAAGCCAUUCAAAUAGGGAGCUACACAGCGCACUGAUCCUUAUCGCAACUCUGUUGGAAAGGUGGAGCAUGCAGGUGUGUGAUAGGAUCCUAAGACGAUGAACUAUGCUUGGUUAGGGCAAAGCCAGAGGGAGAUUUGUAUUGGUCCUGACAUGCAAAUCAGUAAUCCAAGCUAGGUAAAGGGGCAAAAGAUACUGAUCAAACCAUCUAGUAGCAGGUUUCCUUCAAAGUUUCCCUCAGGAUAGCUGAUGCUCAGAUAACCCAGUUUAUCUAGUAAAGCGAAUGAUUUGAAGACUUCGGUCCAAAAUGAUCUGAACUUAUUCUCAAACUUUAAAUGGCUAAGAAGACUGUCUUGUUGGCAUGGAGCCGGGCAUCGAAUGCCAGUGCCAGUGUGCCACAUUUGGCAGAAAAGGUGUUGGUUAAUAUAGACAGCAGAACGGUGCCAAGAAGUCGGAAUUCGCUAACGAGUGUGUAUAAACUCACCUCUCGCACUAGCACUGACAAUUGAUGGCGCUGGAGCAUCGGGCUGAUACCCAACCAUCGCCCAUGCUUAGAGCUGUAAGGGCUAAGUCACAACCAGCAGGAGGGCCACUGCAGUGCACACGCUAGCCCUGGGUCCAGUGUCCAUGUGGAGUGGCCGAAGGUGCAUAUCUUUAUUGUAGUAGCAAUUAUAGAAGUGGGAAAUUUGAAGGCCAAAGUGGAGGAGGGUACCAUGUUAACAGCUGUUGCACAUGGAUCCGUCAGUCCUAAGAGAUGGGCAAGCACCGAUCAGAUGGGACAGGCGAUGUCUCUGCUGCCCUCAGCCAAUCGAAAGGGAGGCUGGUUCAGAUCCCCGAACCUGGAGUGGAGGAGAGGGCACCUUCACAGCAUCAAGUGUGGUAAUGUAAACUUUCGCUGAGAAGCUGGCUGGGGCCCGAGUAGAGUUAUAUUUCCUUUGUGAAGGGCAGGGCACCCUGGAAUGUGUUUUCCCCAAGCAGGCACCCAAGCCUUGAAAAUGUUGAAGUUCCAGCCGUGUCCAGUGAGCUCUCGUUGGUCCUUGACAUUCUCUGGGAGAUGGUGUAAAUCUUGUGGAGGGCGUACCCAUAUCAGCAGCAGGUCUCCAAGGUGAACAGUGUAGGCAAGGGAAAUCGGCAAGUCAGAUCCAUAACUUCAGGAUAAGGAUUGGCCCUCAGGGCUGGGUUGGUCAGGCUGAUGUGCAAAGUGGUGCUGAGUGUGAGCCGCUGCUGGACGAGGCGUACCCCACGCUGGGGGUGGUGCCAACUCUGAACUCAAGCCGGGCCCUUCCUGUGGAUUGCCUCAGCUAUGGUGAUCACUCUCUCCAAACCCUCCGAGGUUUGGGGCUGACAUUCUGCCUCGGCCGAUGCCUAGCAUCUGACUUAGUACUGGUGUGGACCAGGGGAAUCCAAUGGUUUAUUUGAUUUCCCUUGCACUUGCGCAAUCUCAAUGUCAUCUGGCCUAGUAAGAUUGUUGUCUUUGUCUUUCCUCUGUUCCCCCUCCUUGCCUCAUCGCGCCUUGAAACAAUUGUGUAUAGGUGCGUUAUAAAUGCCAUAUCAUAUCAUAUAAUUUCAAACAAAGCGUUACAAAAGCCCAUGGCAAGUGGUGGUGCAAUAUGAUUUCUGCCCAGUGCUCUGAAUGUCAAAGUGAAGAAAUUCAAUAAAGUGCAUGCAUGAAUGGAUGAACGAGAUACCCACUGUCCCUACCUACUGUGUAGCGAAACCACAGCCAAGGGAACAGUCUUGGGAGAAUCAUUGGGGAAAGAAGAAGACCCUUUUGAGCUUGACCGUAGUCUGCCACUGUAAAGAGACAUGAGAGGUGUAGGAUAAGUGGGAGGCUUUCUGGCCGCCAGUGAAAUGCCACUACUCUUAUAAUUUUUUCACUUACACUUUGAGGCAGGGGGGCAAGCUACAUGGGGCUGUUGCUUCCUGCUCCAAGCACCCAGCUCCAGCCAGGGGGGACCUGCUCCGGGGACAGUUUGCACCUGGAGUUUGACUGGGGCAGUACACCUGCCAAACAAUAACACAGGUGCCCUAAGGCAGGCAAGUUCAGAGAGGGCAGAAAACUUCAGCCAAGCAGAAAGGCAAAAGCUUGCUGGAUGUCAAUUUUCUAAUAUGAAUACAGACCAUGCAAGCAUGGCCUCACAAUCCUUCAUAUUUUGGUGUUUCAAGCAGGAGGUGUCAGGAAUUUGCCACAUGGAUAACUGUCUUGUGGCACCAAAGCAUUUAUAGUGAUAUUGCAUUCUGAUCCUCCCACGUCAGCUCUUCUUAUCAUGGUGAAGCAGAAUUCACCCAGCGUUGGAUUGUUCACCCACUAAUGGGGAACGUGAGCUGGGUCUAGACUGCCGUGUGACAGGUAGUAAUCCUGCUCAGUACAAGCAGAACCACAGGUUUGAACAUUUGGUGUAUGUGCUUGGCUGAGGUGCCAAUGGGGCAAAGCUACCAUCUGUGAGAUUAUGAGCGAACGCCUCUCAGUCAGAAUCCCCCAACAGUAACAGUACGACAACACUGUGUAGCCUCAGUUGGAAUAGGAUAGCCAGCCUCUGGACCAAUAGAGAGGGACACCUCUCUAUUAACCAUAGUGCACACUUGUUUGU
rnacentral:rRNA from 1 species